rnacentral:misc_RNA from 1 species
AUAUUUUGAAUUAAGUAUAUUCAUAAUAUGUUAUCAGAUGAAUGUUGUUAAAGAUAUAGGUUGAUAUUUGUGAAGGGAAAGAGUUGCCUCUCUCCCAACAAACAUUGCACACAAGGUGGAUAUGGAUUUUUAAAGAGUGCCAUAAAACACUCAUUGUGAAUGAUCCUUCCACAGGUUCACCUAUGGAAA